rnacentral:rRNA from 1 species
UUUCACCUACGGGGGGCAGCAGUGGGGAAUAUUGCACAAUGGGCGAAAGCCUGAUGCAGCAACGCCGCGUGAAGGAAGACGGUUUUCGGAUUGUAAACUUCUGUUCUUAGUGAAGAAUAAUGACGGUAACUAAGGAGCAAGCCACGGCUAACUACGUGCCAGCAGCCGCGGUAAUACGUAGGUGGCAAGCGUUAUCCGGAAUUACUGGGUGUAAAGGGUGUGUAGGCGGGG